GACGAACGCUGGCGGCGUGCUUAACACAUGCAAGUCGAACGGAAAGGCCCCCACCUUGGUGGGGGUGCUCGAGUGGCGAACGGGUGAGUAACACGUGGGUGAUCUGCCCUGUACUUCGGGAUAAGCUUGGGAAACUGGGUCUAAUACCGGAUAGGACCAUGGUUUAGUGUCUCAUGGUGGAAAAAUUAUUGUUUUGGUGCAGGAUGAGCUCGCGGCCUAUCAGCUUGUUGGUGGGGUAAUGGCCUACCAAGGCGUCGACGGGUAGCCGGCCUGAGAGGGUGGACGGCCACAUGGGGACUGAGAUACGGCCCAGACUCCUACGGGAGGCAGCAGUGGGGAAUAUUGCACAAUGGGCGCAAGCCUGAUGCAGCGACGCCGCGUGGGGGAUGACGGCCUUCGGGUUGUAAACUCCUUUCGUUAGGGACGAAGCCACACCUUUUUUGGGUGUGGUGACGGUACCUUUGUUAAGAAGCACCGGCUAACUACGUG
rnacentral:rRNA from 1 species